rnacentral:rRNA from 1 species
UCAAGCGCGAAAAGGGCGUUUGGUGAAUGCCUUGGCAGUAAGAGGCGAUGAAAGACGUGAUACUCUGCGAUAAGCCAUGGGGAGCUGAGAAUAAGCUUUGAUCCAUGGAUUUCUGAAUGGGGCAACCCACCUGAUUGUUUAUUGUUGUCCUACCGCUUUGCUACUUGAGGACGUAAGUUCGCAAGGUGCAGACGGUGGGUUCAUCAGUAAGCAGAACCAGGUAUUUAUAGACUGAAUACAUAGGUUUAUAAAAGCAAACCCGGGGAACUGAAACAUCUAAGUACCCGGAGGAAAGGAAAUCAAUUGAUACUCCCCUAGUAGCGGCGAGCGAACGGGGACCAGCCGAGCCUCAAUUGUGGUUAGAAUGCGUUGGAAUGCGCAACCAAAGUGGGUGAUAGUCCCGUAUAAGAAGCAUGAUUGGACGUAUUAAGUAGGGCGGAACACGUGAAAUUCUGUCUGAAGAUCGGAGGACCACCUUCGAAGGCUAAGUACUCCUUACUGACCGAUAGUGAACCAGUACCGUGAGGGAAAGGUGAAAAGCACCCCGACGAGGGGAGUGAAACAGUACCUGAAACCGAACGCCUACAAUCAGUUGGAGGGUCUUUACGGCCUGACAGCGUACCUUUUGUAUAAUGGGUCAUCGACUUGGUCUCACAAGCAAGCUUAAGCCGUUAGGUGUAGGCGUAGCGAAAGCGAGUCUUAAUAGGGCGUUGAGUUUGUGGGAUCAGACCCGAAACCGAGUGAUCUAGGCAUGGCCAGGUUGAAGAUAAGGUAACACUUAUUGGAGGACCGAACCCACAUCCGUUGAAAAGGAUCGGGAUGAGCUGUGCCUAGGGGUGAAAGGCCAAUCAAACUCGGAGAUAGCUGGUUCUCUGCGAAAUCUAUUUAGGUAGAGCGUCAUCCGAAUACCCUCGGGGGUAGAGCACUGGAUGGGUAAUGGGGCCCCACAGGCUUACUGAUCCUAACCAAACUCCGAAUACCGAGGAGUACUAGAUGGCAGACACACAGCGGAUGCUAACGUCCGUUGUGAAGAGGGAAACAACCCUGACCUACAGCUAAGGCCCCUAAUUCAUGGCUAAGUGGGAAAGCAGGUGAGACGACCAAAACAACCAGGAGGUUGGCUUAGAAGCAGCCAUCCUUUAAAGAUAGCGUAACAGCUCACUGGUCUAAAUAAGUUGUCUUGCGGCGAAGAUGUAACGGGGCUCAAGCCAUGAGCCGAAGCUUAGGAUGCAUUAAUUGCAUGGUAGCAGAGCGUAGUGUGACAUAGUUCCAUGUCUCCUUAGCCCUUCGGGGUAUUGGAGACGCGGAGCUUUCUGUGAAGCGGGCCUGUGAGGGAUCCCGUGGAGAGAUCACUAGUGAGAAUGAUGACAUGAGUAGCGACAAAGAGUGUGAGAGACACUCUCGCCGAAAAUCCAAGGGUUCCUGCUUAAAGCUAAUCUGAGCAGGGUAAGCCGACCCCUAAGGCGAGGCCGAAAGGCGUAGUCGAUGGGAACCAGGUUAAUAUUCCUGGGCCAGAUGGAAGUGACGGAUCUCGAGGGUAGUUCAUCCUUAUCGGAUUGAAUGGGCUGCUUAGAGGUCCCUGGAAAUAGCUCCAUCGCUAGAUCGUACCCUAAACCGACACAGGUGGAUAGGUAGAGAAUACCAAGGCGCUUGAGAGAACUAUGUUGAAGGAACUCGGCAAAAUACCUCCGUAAGUUCGCGAGAAGGAGGCCCGGUUCCUAGGCAACUAGGGGCUGGGGGCACAAACCAGGGGGUGGCGACUGUUUAUUAAAAACACAGGGCUCUGCGAAGUCGUAAGACGACGUAUAGGGUCUGACGCCUGCCCGGUGCCUGAAGGUUAAAAGGAGGGGUGAGAGCUCUGAAUUGAAGCCCAGGUAAACGGCGGCCGUAACUAUAACGGUCCUAAGGUAGCGAAAUUCCUUGUCGGG